rnacentral:snRNA from 1 species
GUGCUCUAUUCAGUAACACUGUAACUAAAAGUGGAAGGAUACAGAAAAGAUUCUUAUGGCCAUUGUGCAAGGAUGAUAUAUUGAAUUCCUCAAGUGCCCCUUCU